rnacentral:rRNA from 1 species
UCAGAUUGAACGCUGGCGGAAUGCUUUACACAUGCAAGUCGAACGGCAGCACGGGGGCAACCUGGUGGCGAGUGGCGAACGGGUGAGUAAUGUAUCGGAACGUACCCAGUCGUGGGGGAUAACUAUCCGAAAGGAUAGCUAAUACCGCAUACGUCCUGAGGGAGAAAGCGGGGGAUCGCAAGACCUCGCGCGAUUGGAGCGGCCGAUAUCGGAUUAGCUAGUUGGUGAGGUAAAGGCUCACCAAGGCGACGAUCCGUAGCGGGUCUGAGAGGACGACCCGCCACACUGGAACUGAGAUACGGGCCAGACUCCUACGGGAGGCAGCAGUAGGGAAUAUUGGGCAAUGGACGAGAGUCUGACCCAGCCAUGCCGCGUGCAGGAAGAAGGCGUUCUGCGUUGUAAACUGCUUUUAUCUGGGAAGAAAAGGCCCAUGCGUGGGACAUUGCCGGUACCAGAUGAAUA